AUCUCUUCUCGGACUUUUGGCUAAGAUCAAGUGUAGUAUCUGUUCUUAUCGGUUUCAUGCAGGUGGCAGGUGAUGCCAGUAUGGAGCUGGUGGGGAUGGGUGCCGCAUGGUAGGGAGCAGGUUUACCAGGGCGUUCCGGGGCUGGUUCUGAGGAAUCAGCUCGACGGCUGCCCUGAUGUGACCUGUU